GACAGAGGAUGCAAGCGUUAUCCGGAAUGAUUGGGCGUAAAGCGUCUGUGGGUGGCUUUUUAAGUCUGCCGUCAAAUCCCAGGGCUUAACCCUGGACAGGCGGUGGAAACUACCAAGCUGGAGUACGGUAGGGGCAGAGGGAAUUCCUGGUGUAGCGGUGGAAUGCGCAGAUAUCAGGAGGAACACCGAUGGCGAAGGCAGGUCACUGGGCCGCAACUGACGCUGAGGAGCGAAAGCAUGGGGAGCGAACAGG
rnacentral:rRNA from 1 species